AGGCCUUCGGGUGCUGACGAGCGGCGGACGGGUGAGGAAUGCAUAGGAAUCUGCCUAUUAGUGGGGGAUAACACGGGGAAACUCGUGCUAAUACGCAUACGUCCUACGGGAGAAAGCGGGGGAUCUUCGGACCUCGCGCUAAUAGAUGAGCCUAUGCCGGAUUAGCUAGUUGGUAGGGUAAAGGCCUACCAAGGCGACGAUCCGUAGCUGGUCUGAGAGGAUGAUCUGCCACACUGGGACUGAGACACGGCCCAGACUCCUACGGGAGGCAGCAGUGGGGAAUAUUGGACAAUGGGCGCAAGCCUGAUCCAGCCAUGCCGCGUGUGUGAAGAAGGCCUUCGGGUUGUAAAGCACUUUAAGUGGGGAGGAAGGUUAGUGGUUUAAUACGCUACUAAAUUGACGUUACCCACAGAAUAAGCACCGGCUAACUCUGUGCCAGCAGCCGCGGUAAUACAGAGGGUGCAAGCGUUAAUCGGAAUUACUGGGCGUAAAGCGCGCGUAGGUGGUUUUGUAAGUUGAAUGUGAAAUCCCCGGGCUUAACCUGGGAAUGGCAUCCAAAACUGCACGACUAGAGUAUGGGAGAGGGAGGUAGAAUUCCAGGUGUAGCGGUGAAAUGCGUAGAGAUCUGGAGGAAUACCGGUGGCGAAGGCGGCCUCCUGGCCUAAUACUGACACUGAGGUGCGAAAGCGUGGGUAGCAAACAGGAUUAGAUACCCUGGUAGUCCACGCCGUAAACGAUGAGAACUAGCCGUUGGUCUCCUUGAGAGGUUAGUGGCGCAGCUAACGCGAUAAGUUCUCCGCCUGGGGAGUACGGCCGCAAGGUUAAAACUCAAAUGAAUUGACGGGGGCCCGCACAAGCGGUGGAGCAUGUGGUUUAAUUCGACGCAACGCGAAGAACCUUACCUGGUCUUGACAUCCACGGAAUCCUGCAGAGAUGUGGGAGUGCCUUCGGGAACCGUGAGACAGGUGCUGCAUGGCUGUCGUCAGCUCGUGUUGUGAAAUGUUGGGUUAAGUCCCGUAACGAGCGCAACCCUUGUCCUUAGUUGCCAGCGAGUAAUGUCGGGAACUCUAAGGAGACUGCCGGUGACAAACCGGAGGAAGGUGGGGACGACGUCAAGUCAUCGUGGCCCUUACGACCAGGGCUACACACGUGCUACAAUGGCCGGUACAGAGGGUUGCCAAGCCGCGAGGUGGAGCCAAUCCCGAAAAGCCGGUCGUAGUCCGGAUUGCAGUCUGCAACUCGACUGCAUGAAGUCGGAAUCGCUAGUAAUCGCAGAUCAGAAUGCUGCGGUGAAUACGUUCCCGGGCCUUGUACACACCGCCCGUCACACCAUGGGAGUGGGUUGCACCAGAAGUAGUUAGCUUAACCGCAAGGGGAGCGAUUACCACGGUGUG
rnacentral:rRNA from 1 species